UGUGCGGUUGAGAACAUAAAAUAAAGCAGGGAAGUUGAUAAUGUUAUAAAUUUUAGGCUUCUUUAUUGUAAAACACUUUUUUUGUGAGAAUGAUGGCCUUGUUCAGUCACUUACAGUCGUUCUGAAGUUUUUAGUUCAGAAAUAAAAGAAAAAAAAACAACAUUGAAACGUGCAGGUAAUCAAUAGGGCAGACUGUUAUGUGGUUUCGACAGCAUGUGUAGUAUAGUUCCAAAAUUAAUAUCGUGGGAUGAGAGAAUUUUUGCUUACUCCUAUAAAAACAAAACGUAGUCUGCUUUUGCACCCAAGAUCCCCAUAAAACCCUGACAACACCCUUAAAGGUCAUUUAUGGAGGUGACCUCUUUUUGCUUCCCACACUCCCUAGGAGCAUUUCUGGUCUACCCACUCUUUCAUGGCCACCCACGCGCAGAUCGGUUGAGAAAUCAUACUUCGUUAAGAAAAAACUUUGAUAAGAAUGUUACUUUUCUUCUUUGUUCACUUUUCUUUGUUUGAAAGAUAUCUUUUGUUCUCUGUACUUCAAAGGCAGUACUUAAAAAUACAUCAUUUGCUGCAUAUAGAAAUUUAAAUGGAAUAUGUCAAUUUUAGAUGAGGGGACUUGUCAUUGUUCCAUAAAGUACAUACAUAUAUUUUAUUCUCAUUUGUGGGUCAAGAAGUAAAUUAAAAUUAAUCUAAUCACAGGAACAUUUUUAAGCAAACACAUUUAGAUGGAUGGGCUGUUCUUUGUUUUUUAAAACCUGUAGCAGACUUACAGUCUUCACCAGUCAAAUGUAUUUAGAGUAACCAUUAAUUAGCAGUAGUUCUUAUAUCUGUACCUUCAUGUAUGAUAGGAAUAUAAAUAUUACUGGAGUAAAUUGUCACAAGUUGAAUGCCUUUGGAUGUGAGGAAGAGUAUCUUGGAUCUGUGUCUUUUUCUGUGGCAGUAAAAGCAUUACUCAGUGAUGGUGCAACAUGCUACUGACAACGUCACGCUCAUUGCAACCUGCACAGUCUGUCCCUGUUAGUCUUUGCAAUAAUCAUGAACAGAGUUAUGAAUCUCAUAAGGCAAAAUGUGGCAAGCAUCUAGUAUGGGAAUCUUUCCAUCUGCACACCACAUCCUCUCAGAAAUCUACAUGAUUUAAAGCAACUCUUAUUGAUAGAAAAGUUUUCUUGUGUUUCUUUUUAAUGGGUUUUGAUUUUUGCAUCUGUUUUAAGUUAGAUGGUUCUUCAUGCAAUUCUGAUUGUGGUUGUUCACAAGCUGCUUUCUCUGUUGCUUUUCCUGUAGGUGUUGCAGGGUGCUCAGCUGAUAGCUAUUGCUUCUGCUGAGCCUGCCUCAGGGGGUGUUGAUGGUUCCCUGCUCCAAGGGAGUGAUAUCCAAGUCCAGUAUGUGCAGCUGACACCAGUGACAGACCACUCUGUGACUAAUCAAGGCACUGAUACCCUUCAAUCAACAAUCCAGACAGAAAUGCAGAUAGAACAUGGAGCAAUCCAAAUCCAAUAAGAACUGUGAAAAGCUGCAUCAACUGACAUGUGAAUGACCCACACCAGAAGUCAAGUGUUGUCAUCUUCGUGCAAUGACAGGAGAAUGGAAAUGCCCUUUACACUAACGGUCACACCUUGAACAUCUCCUUCAAAUCACAGUGUUCUGAUGAUCUGGUUGUCCUCACCUGGAAUAAAUGACAUCCAUUUGCUUAAAUUGGAGCUAUGUCAUUACAUCAGUUGAGGAUCUGGCCUUCAGAAAAAUUAAAUGGCCUGCCCUUACAUACACUUAAGGGGGGGG